UCCUUGCCAGCAUUCCUACCUCCCUUUGGCCAGCUAUUUGUGUCAGGUAGGAAUCAGGCUGUACUUUGGCUGUGUGUGUAGACGCCAAUCCCCAGGAGGCGUGUGACCUUUUCACCUUACCCACAAACUCCCUGGGAGGUGCCCCGUGGGCACUGACCCUUCUCCGGGGCCUGAUCGGCGACCGCAACCUGUUUGUUCCCAGAAAUGUCCUUGCUUUUCACAUCUACAAACGCUUCCUGCAGCACUUCUCGGAAAACCCUCGGGGAUGGGCCUGGGGGGCAUCCAGCGGGCUGGGGGCACGAGCCGCUGUGGGAAGUGGGGGUGGCAGGAGCUCCAGGGCCGGCGUGCACGUUGCCUGUGGCCGGGAGCGGACACUGAGAGGGCGCAGCGAAGAGCACCCCUCCCCCGCCACUCUUUCCCUCCCUCGGGAUGCACAGAGAAACGGGGGCCGCCCGACCCCUGAUUUCCACACCCCUCCCUAGCACCUGGGCUCCCAGACAAGGUUGGGCGGGGUCGGGCGGCGAUUGCCCCCCUGCUUGGAAGGCACAGCACCUCCCACCAUCCGGUGUUCCCUCUGCCCCAGAGGAACGGGCACCAAAUCUCGGGAAACAAUGAAGCCUCCGCAGCGCGCAGAGGGCACCCGGGAGCGAUCGGCACCCAGCCGCGCGCCCCGAUGCGGGCCAGGGAGGCCGCGUGGGGCUGCAGCCCGGCCUCGCCCGCCCAGGUGGUCUGUUUCGCUUCACACCACAGCGACACUGCUGCCCCUCGCCCGGCUUCGCGGUGCGGCUCCCACUCCAGCCCGGCUUUCCCCUCCUCGCCCUCCAGCUCUGGGCAGGGGCGUCCAGGGGUGCCCCGCUGCUCCCCGCCACAGGUCUCAGGAUGGCGCGAUGAGGAGUGGCAGGGGGUGACCCUGCGUUCCUCGCCGCCGAGGGCGCGGGCCCCGGGAUUUGAAGUUGCGAGAAGCAGCCGCCACCUCCCGGGCGCUCCGCACUGCGCGGCGGCGGGAUCUGCGCCUGCAGGAGCUGCCCAGCUCUCCCUCUAGGGGUGCAGAGCGAGCACGCGAGACACCCGGACCUCCCCUGGGCGCCAGCUCCGCGGCUCCAACGGGUCCAGAAACAAGCCGGAUUUUUUUUUUUUUUUCUUCCUUGAAAUUGGCUUUGGUGUGUGUUGCCCUACCUCCCUCCUUCCCCUCCC
rnacentral:lncRNA from 1 species